AGUAUUCUGGACAUAUGGCCACUUCUUGAACAAAUCCAGAGAACAUCCUCUGAUAUACCUAUAUGUGUUGAAACCAGGUUCAGCACUCUGCUUCAAUUCCCCAGCAAAUGCCAGUGUGGAAAAAGGUUUUGUUGUCACAGCAUCCUGAUGCACCGUACAAUUGAUGGCCUUCUGCAAUCAGUAUGGGCCAGAAGCAGCCCGCACAUAGUUGUCUUUGCCUCCGCAUACCCAGCCUUGGUCAUUGCUGGUGAAGUUUGCAUUUUGCCUGAGCUAUGUGCAUUGUUGGGACUAUGUGUGAGCCCAGAAAAUCAUGAAAAUAGAGCUGGAAAUUUGCUCCUAGAGAAAUGAUCACACUUCUUGCAAAGCCCCAAGGGCUUCAUGGACCUAAGGAAAGAAAACUCCCCUACAGCCGUCCUAAUGGGUACGAGCAUGACCUCAUCCUAACUAAUUGCAUUUGCGAAGAUCCUAUUGGCAAGCAAGGUCACGUUCUGAGGUUCCAGGAAGGACAAGAAUUUGAAGGUAGGAGGGACUCUAUGAAACCCUGUCCUGUGGUAAAGAGGCUUUCCCUUAGGCAGAGUGCGAUUAAAGAGCACAGU